GAUGAACGCUGGCGGCGUGCCUAACACAUGCAAGUCGAGCGGAGAUACUUGAUAAGCUUGCUUAACGAGUAUCUUAGCGGCGGAUGGGUGAGGAACGCGUGGAGAACCUGCCCUUCACAGGGGGAUAACAGCUGGAAACGGCUGUUAAUACCGCAUAUGCUCACAGCGCCGCAUGGCGCAGGGAGGAAAGCGCACAGUGGUGAAGGAUGGCUCCGCGUCGGAUUAACUAGUUGGCAGGGUAACGGCCUACCAAGGUGAUGAUCCGUAGCCGACCUGAGAGGGUGACCGGCCACAUUGGGACUGAGACACGGCCCAAACUCC
rnacentral:rRNA from 1 species